UACAGAGGGUGCAAGCGUUAAUCGGAAUUACUGGGCGUAAAGGGUGCGUAGGUGGUUAGAUAAGUUGGAUGUGAAAUUCCUGGGCUCAACUUGGGAACUGCAUUUGAAACUGUCUAGCUAGAGUACUGUAGAGGGAAGUGGAAUUUCCGGUGUAGCGGUGAAAUGCGUAGAUAUCGGAAGGAACAUCAGUGGCGAAGGCGACUUCCUGGACAGAUACUGACACUGAGGCGCGAAAGCGUGGGGAGCGAACAGG
rnacentral:rRNA from 1 species